AUUGAACGCUGGCGGCAUGCUUUACACAUGCAAGUCGAACGGCAGCGCGGGCUUCGGCCUGGCGGCGAGUGGCGAACGGGUGAGUAAUACAUCGGAACGUGCCCAGUAGUGGGGGAUAGCUCGGCGAAAGCCGGAUUAAUACCGCAUACGACCUGAGGGUGAAAGCGGGGGAUCUUCGGACCUCGCGCUAUUGGAGCGGCCGAUGGCAGAUUAGCUAGUUGGUGGGGUAAAGGCCUACCAAGGCGAGGAUCUGUAGCUGGUCUGAGAGGACGACCAGCCACACUGGGACUGAGCCACGGCCCAGACUCCUGCGGGAGGCAGCAGUGGGGAAUUUUGGACAAUGGGCGAAAGCCUGAUCCAGCGAUGCCGAGUGUGUGAUGAAGGCCUUCGGGUUGUAAAGCACUUUUGGCGGGAACGAAAAGGACUGUGCCAAUACCACGGUUCGAUGACGGUACCCGCAGAAUAAGCACCGGCUAACUACGUG
rnacentral:rRNA from 1 species